rnacentral:rRNA from 1 species
UACGGGGGGGGCAAGCGUUGUUCGGAAUUACUGGGCGUAAAGGGCUCGUAGGUUGCCAACUAAGUCAGACGUGAAAUCCCUCGGCUUAACCGGGGAACUGCGUCUGAUACUGGAUGGCUUGAGUUCGGGAGAGGGAUGCGGAAUUCCAGGUGUAGCGGUGAAAUGCGUAGAUAUCUGGAGGAACACCGGUGGCGAAGGCGGCACCCUGGACCGACACUGACACUGAGGAGCGAAAGCCAGGGGAGCAAACGGG